rnacentral:rRNA from 1 species
GAUGAACGCUGGCGGCGUGCCUAAUACAUGCAAGUCGAGCGAAUGGAUCAAGAGCUUGCUCUUAUGAAGUUAGCGGCGGACGGGUGAGUAACACGUGGGUAACCUGCCCAUAAGACUGGGAUAACUCCGGGAAACCGGGGCUAAUACCGGAUAACAUUUUGAACCGCAUGGUUCGAAAUUGAAAGGCGGCUUCGGCUGGCACUUAUGGAUGGACCCGCGUCGCAUUAGCCAGUUGGUGAGGUAACGGCUCACCAAGGCAACGAUGCGUAGCCGACCUGAGAGGGUGAUCGGCCACACUGGGACUGAGACACGGCCCAGACUCCUACGGGAGGCAGCAGUAGGGAAUCUUCCGCAAUGGACGAAAGUCUGACGGAGCAACGCCGCGUGAGUGAUGAAGGCUUUCGGGUCGUAAAACUCUGUUGUUAGGGAAGAACAAGUGCUAGUUGAAUAAGCUGGCACCUUGACGGUACCUAACCAGAAAGCCACGGCUAACUACGUGCCAGCCGCCGCGGUAA